rnacentral:rRNA from 1 species
GACGAACGCUGGCGGCGUGCCUAACACAUGCAAGUCGAACGAAGCCUUCGGGCUUAGUGGCGCACGGGUGCGUAACACGUGGGAAUCUGCCCUUAGGUACGGAAUAACUCAGGGAAACUUGAGCUAAUACCGUAUGAUGUCUUCGGACCAAAGAUUUAUCGCCUAAGGAUGAGCCCGCGUCGGAUUAGCUAGUUGGUGGGGUAAAGGCCUACCAAGGCGACGAUCCGUAGCUGGUCUGAGAGGAUGAUCAGCCACACUGGGACUGAGACACGGCCCAGACUCCUACGGGAGGCAGCAGUGGGGAAUAUUGGACAAUGGGCGAAAGCCUGAUCCAGCAAUGCCGCGUGAGUGAAGAAGGCCUUCGGGUUGUAAAGCUCUUUUACCCGGGAAGAUAAUGACUGUACCGGGAGAAUAAGCCCCGGCUAACUACGUGCCAGCCGCCGCGGUAA